rnacentral:lncRNA from 1 species
AUGGAGCAAAUUAUUAAGGUACUGCUCCAGUUUUGUAAGGAUUAUUGUUGUAAAUCAGCCCCUUCUAAGAAGGAGAUAGCUGCUGUGUUAUCGCGGCUAGAGAAGGAGGGCUGCCUGGCAACCCCGGAGGCGGUGCUGGAUUAUGGGUUGUGGGACUCUUUUACUAUGAAACUCGCCCAACGGGCUAUGUCCUCACCCAAGAAAGAUAAGGAUCUGCUAAAAAACUGGGGACUCAUCCUGGGGGCGUUGAAGGCAGCCAAGGAGGAUAAGGAAGCACAGUAUACGGCACAAAAAUUGGUGGGGCUUGCGGGUCGUGGGGAACAGGGUGGGAGUUUGGAAAUGGAGAGGGGGGAGGUGCGGGGGGUUUGCGCUUCCCCUACAGAUGGCCGAGGAUGUUCUCCUGCCACCGAGGCGCCGCCCGAGUCCAGGAACGAUCAACGGACAAUGCCCCGGCCGUUGCGUAAUCCUUAUCCGACUGCCCCAGCUGCCCCGGAGGAGGCCCCACCUCCCUACCCCCGCCCAAAGUUGUAUCCUGCCCUGCCAGAUGAGGGUGGGGGAGGGGGUGGCUCUUGUAACAGCUCUCGUGACUGCGCAAACAAUGACUGUGCAAGUGGGGGUGGCACAACACUGCCAUAUAGGGGAACUAACAGAAAGCCAGAUGGAGGGGGCGGGACCGAGCAGGGGGCGGCGGCCACUGGCCCUCCUGAGCAGUUCACUGAUUGGUCCCAGAUCCGGGAGGGCGUGGAGAGCAGUGGCCUGCCUGUGAGAGCGUUGCCGGUGGUGGCGGGGCCCAACGGUGCUACCUGGGUGCUGCUGGAUCAAAAAGGCACCACUCACUUUAUAGAGGCGAUAAAGAAAAAGGGGUUGAAGUUGCCCUUUACCACAUCCGCCCUGGAGGCACUGACCGUGCAGGGCCCCCUCCUCCCUCAUGAUAUUACAAAUCUGAUGAGAAUGGCACUUAAGCCGGUCCAAUAUACUUUGUGGGAACAGGAAUUUAGAGCUCAAUGCAGGCAAAUAUUGCUCCGGAUGGAGCGAGAUGAUCACCACCCUCUAAGGAAGGGGGGGGGCACGAAUAUGGCAAGGCUUACGGGGAUGGCGGAUGGCAUGGCCACGCCCCAGGGCCAAGCAGCUCUCCUGCGGCUGGGGGAGUUGUUGGCCACCACGGACGCUAUGCUUGAAGCGUUCCGAAGGUUCGCAAGAGAUGCAGAACCCCUGGCCCCAUGGACAAUAAUCACCCAAGAGCCCACAGAAUCUUUUCAGCAAUUUGCGGAUCGCCUAAUCCCCUCUGUAGAGGGAUCUGAGCUGCCCCUGGCAGCCAGAGACCCGGUCAUUGUGGACUGUUUAAAACAGAGGUCCCAUGAAGACAUCAAGGUCAUCCUGAGGUCGGCUGCUUAG